rfam:Triticum urartu cultivar G1812 contig70287, whole genome shotgun sequence.
GUACUUUAGUGUAAAGGUAGCACAGCAGACUCAUGUCCUGCUAGACCAGUGUUCGAAUCCUGGAAUGUACU